CCAUUGUCCCGGAGUGAUAAUCCUAGGAACGGGUCAUAGCUUUAAAAUAAGUUUUAGAUUCAUGCUUUAAUAAUGAUAUUUUUAUUCAAGUAGGUUAUAAUUCUAAUUUAUGUUUGUAAAUAUAUGACUUGAUGCGUUUUAACGGGCAUGCGCGUGAAGUUGAGUUGCCAUGGAAACGGAGGGUCACCAGUGCAGACAGCAAACUCCGACUCUCCCUGUUUUCACUGCUUUCAGAUCGUUCCAUGCUGAUGCCCUGCUCAGUAGCAGAGUUGAACUGGCCAUCAUCUGAACCUGGCAACCGGACACGCAAACACACACGCUCUUUUUUGAUAAUGAAAAUAAAAUUAUUUUGUUUCCUAAUA